AUUGAACGCUGGCGGCAGGCCUAACACAUGCAAGUCGAACGAGUGGCGGACGGGUGAGUAAUGUCUGGGAAACUGCCCGAUGGCGGGGGAUAACUCCUGGAAACGGUAGCUAAUACCGCAUACCAUCGGAUGUGCCCAGAUGGGAUUCGCUAGUAGGUGGGGUAACGGCUCACCUAGGCGACGAUCCCUAGCUGGUCUGAGAGGAUGACCAGACAAACUGGAACUUAGACACGGUCCAGACUCCGACGGGAGGCAGCAGUGGGGAAUAUUGCACAAUGGGCGCAAGCCUGAUGCAGCCAUGCCGCGUGUAUGAAGAAGGCCUUCGGGUUGUAAAGUACUUUCAGCGGGGAGGCGUUACUCGCAGAAGAAGCACCGGCUAACUCCGUGCCAGCAGCCGCGGUAAUAC
rnacentral:rRNA from 1 species